rnacentral:lncRNA from 1 species
AGUGUAGUCUUGUGUCUAAGCUGGUGUCUGGCCACCAAAGGCAGGCGUGCAGGGCCUUGGCUACUGCGCUAGGUCUGCUGAUGGCCACAAGCCUUUAGUCCCAGCUCUGCCUUAGCAAUGGGGGUGUCUGAAGGCUCAGGGGAUACACAGGUCCUCUAGGUUCCUGGGGAGAUGAUGACGGAGUCUUGCUGUGUUGCCAGGCUGGAGUGCAGUGGCGCGAUCUCGGCUCACUGCAACCUCUGCCUCCCACGUUCAAGCGAUUUUCCUGCCUCAGCCUCCCGAGCAGCUGGGAUUACAGGCACGCACCGCAAUGCCCAGAGUGAGAGUUUCGACCAGGAGUGGAUACUGAGGAGAGCAAAGAUCACCUGGUGCUCAUCAAGCCGGACUUCCAGAGGCAAAGCUCCUUAACUGAAGAAUUCAGAAGUAAUUAGACUUCCCUAUUAUCCAAAGCAGGCAUCUGGUACCAGCCUUCUUUCCCCAAAAUUUAUAAGUAACUACAAUUUCUAUACAGCUCCAGAAUGCAUAUACAUCAAAACUCAUUUUGCACCCCUUGAUGACAUCAAGGCACCAGAAUGCCUAAAAAUGUAAUCAUCUAUCAUGACCUACAUAGUUAAUAUGGUCCCAACUUACCCUUAAGCUCCUGCUCUAAGGUCCAUACACACCCCUAAGGAACAUCCACUGCGGUGGACUCAGUUCUCUCUUGCUGAGGCUCCCACUGAACUCCUCUGCAGCAUUAUUUCUUUCUAAUAAAACUUUCCUUUUCAUCCAGUCUAUCAUUGAUGGGCAUUUA